rnacentral:rRNA from 1 species
CAGCCGCCACGGUAAAACGUAGGUGGCAAGCGUUGUCCGGAAUUAUUGGGCGUAAAGGGAGCGCAGGCGGGCAUGUAAGUCUUUCUUAAAAGUGCGGGGCUCAACCCCGUGAUGGGAAAGAAACUACAUGUCUUGAGUACAGGAGAGGAAAGCGGAAUUCCCAGUGUAGCGGUGAAAUGCGUAGAUAUUGGGAGGAACACCAGUGGCGGAGGCGGCUUUUUGGCCUGUAACUGACACUGAGGCGCGAAAGCGUGGGGAGCAAACAGGAUUAGAUACCCCAGUAGUCCCUGUCUCUUAUACA